GGCUGCCCUGCUGAUCAUUAAUGGGAGGCAGUUUGUGUGUCACAAAUGCAAGCCUGGCCCGGACAACAACAUGAGCAAUGCAGAGGCGGCAGGGGGCCAGGGCACACACUCUGCAGGGACAGUACGGAUCCACAUGACGCUGAGAGGGGGUGAAGCCAAAAGCCAGUGUUAAUUGAAGCCUAGCAGAAAAGAGAGCGAAACCAAGGCCAUUUAUCCACCAGUCAGUGCAGAGCGGAUGGCUUUGAGAAUG